rnacentral:rRNA from 1 species
GGUUAAGCGAAUAAGCGUACACGGUGGAUGCCUAGGCAAUCAGAGGCGAUGAAGGACGUGCUAAUCUGCGAAAAGCGUCGGUAAGGUGAUAUGAACCGUUAUACCCGACGAUAUCCGAAUGGGGAAACCCAGUAUCCAAUGGAUACUAUCAUUAACUGAAUCCAUAGGUUAAUGAGGCGAACCGGGAGAACUGAAACAUCUCAGUACCCCGAGGAAAAGAAAUCAACCGAGAUUCCCCUAGUAGCGGCGAGCGAACGGGGAGCAGCCCAGAGUCUUAAUCAAUAGCAGUGUCAGGAGAACGGUCUGGAAAGUCCGGCAGUAAAGGGUGAUAGCCCCGUAUCUGAAGAUGCUGUUAUUGUGAACUCGACGAGUAGGGCGGGACACGUGUUAUCCUGUCUGAAUAUGGGGGGACCAUCCUCCAAGGCUAAAUACUCCUGAUUGACCGAUAGUGAACCAGUACCGUGAGGGAAAGGCGAAAAGAACCCCGGCGAGGGGAGUGAAAAAGAACCUGAAACCGUGUACGUACAAGCAGUAGGAGCCUCUUUAUGGGGUGACUGCGUACCUUUUGUAUAAUGGGUCAGCGACUUAUAUUCUGUAGCAAGGUUAACCGUAUAGGGGAGCCGUAGGGAAACCGAGUCUUAACUGGGCGAAUGAGUUGCAGGGUAUAGACCCGAAACCCGGUGAUCUAUCCAUGGGCAGGUUGAAGGUUGGGUAACACUAACUGGAGGACCGAACCGACUAAUGUUGAAAAAUUAGCGGAUGACUUGUGGAUGGGGGUGAAAGGCCAAUCAAACCGGGAGAUAGCUGGUUCUCCCCGAAAGCUAUUUAGGUAGCGCCUCGUGAACUCAUCUUCGGGGGUAGAGCACUGUUUCGACUAGGGGGUCAUCCCGACUUACCAACUCGAUGCAAACUGCGAAUACCGAAGAAUGUUAUCACGGGAGACACACGGCGGGUGCUAACGUCCGUCGUGAAGAGGGAAACAACCCAGACCGCCAGCUAAGGUCCCAAAGUCAUGGUUAAGUGGGAAACGAAGUGGGAAGGCUCAGACAGCCAGGAUGUUGGCUUAGAAGCAGCCAUCAUUUAAAGAAAGCGUAAUAGCUCACUGGUCGAGUCGGCCCGCGCGGAAGAUGUAACGGGGCUAAACCAUGCACCGAAGCUGCGGCAGCGACACAAAGUGUUGUUGGGUAGGGGAGCGUUCUGUAAGCCUGCGAAGGUGUACUGUGAGGUAUGCUGGAGGUAUCAGAAGUGCGAAUGCUGACAUAAGUAACGAUAAUGCGGGUGAAAAACCCGCACGCCGGAAGACCAAGGGUUCCUGUCCAACGUUAAUCGGGGCAGGGUGAGUCGACCCCUAAGGCGAGGCUGAAAAGCGUAGUCGAUGGGAAACGGGUUAAUAUUCCCGUACUGGUGGUAACUGCGAUGGGGGAACGGAGAAGGCUAGGUUGUCCGGGCGACGGUCGUCCCGGUUCAAGCAGGUAGGCAGAGUGAUUAGGCAAAUCCGGUCACUUAAUGCUGAGAUGUGAUGACGAACCACCAAGGUGGUGAAGCAAUUGAUGCCCCGCUUCCAGGAAAAGCCUCUAAGCUUCAGGUUACCAACAAUCGUACCCCAAACCGACACAGGUGGUCAGGUAGAGAAUACUCAGGCGCUUGAGAGAACUCGGGUGAAGGAACUAGGCAAAAUGGUGCCGUAACUUCGGGAGAAGGCACGCUGGCGGUAGGUAAAGUCCCUCGCGGACGGCGCUGAAGCCAGUCGAAGAUACCAGCUGGCUGCAACUGUUUAUUAAAAACACAGCACUGUGCAAACACGAAAGUGGACGUAUACGGUGUGACGCCUGCCCGGUGCUGGAAGGUUAAUUGAUGGGGUUAGCGUAAGCGAAGCUCCUGAUCGAAGCCCCAGUAAACGGCGGCCGUAACUAUAACGGUCCUAAGGUAGCGAAAUUCCUUGUCGGGUAAGUUCCGACCUGCACGAAUGGCGUAAUGAUGGCCAGGCUGUCUCCACCCGAGACUCAGUGAAAUUGAACUCGCUGUGAAGAUGCAGUGUACCCGCGGCAAGACGGAAAGACCCCGUGAACCUUUACUAUAGCUUGACACUGAACAUUGAGCCUUGAUGUGUAGGAUAGGUGGGAGGCUUUGAAGUGUGGACGCCAGUCUGCAUGGAGCCAACCUUGAAAUACCACCCUUUAACGUUUGAUGUUCUAACCUAGGCCCAUAAACUGGGUCGGGGACCGUGUCUGGUGGGUAGUUUGACUGGGGCGGUCUCCUCCUAAAGAGUAACGGAGGAGCACGAAGGUUGGCUAAGCAUGGUCGGACAUCAUGCGGUUAGUGCAAAGGCAUAAGCCAGCUUGACUGCGAGAGUGACGGCUCGAGCAGGUACGAAAGUAGGUCUUAGUGAUCCGGUGGUUCUGAAUGGAAGGGCCAUCGCUCAACGGAUAAAAGGUACUCCGGGGAUAACAGGCUGAUACCGCCCAAGAGUUCAUAUCGACGGCGGUGUUUGGCACCUCGAUGUCGGCUCAUCACAUCCUGGGGCUGAAGUAGGUCCCAAGGGUAUGGCUGUUCGCCAUUUAAAGUGGUACGCGAGCUGGGUUUAGAACGUCGUGAGACAGUUCGGUCCCUAUCUGCCGUGGGCGUUGGAAGAUUGAGAGGGGUUGCUCCUAGUACGAGAGGACCGGAGUGAACGCACCACUGGUGUUCGGGUUGUCAUGCCAAUGGCAUUGCCCGGUAGCUAAGUGCGGAAGAGAUAACCGCUGAAAGCAUCUAAGCGGGAAACUUGCCUCGAGAUGAGUCUUCCCUGUCGCUUUAAGCGACCUAAAGGAACGUUUAAGACUAAGACGUUGAUAGGCUGGGUGUGUAAGCGUAGCGAUACGUUGAGCUAACCAGUACUAAUGAACCGUGAGGCUUAACCUG